AUGAGUGGAGACAUGGAAUCAUCCUUACAAGGCCUAGAACCUGACAGAGCACACAAGACAGAAGCCCAAAUAACCAGGAACAGGAAGCUGAACGUAAAAGGUUCGGCUGGCCGCGCCAAGAGCUGGAAGUGUAAAAAAUGGAAAAAAAAGAAUGGAAGUGUAAGAAAAUUUGCCCUGUUGAAAAUGAAGGUAAACUCCACAGGUCAAUAUCACCACCCUCCUGUUGACAACUCAGAGGAGUAUACACUUGGCAAUGAGGAGGAGGAGGUGGCCUCUGACAUGAACACCGCGACAGCCCCAAAUGACCACCCUCCUCCUGAGGAUUGCAGGAGCACCACUUCUGAGAAUGAUGACGUGGUAAGAACCCCUUUUUUUGUCCUCUAAAGAAUGCCCUGUCAGGUGGGGAUCGGGGAGGGAGAGCAUCAGGAUAAAUAGCUAAUGGAUGCGGGGCUUAAACCUAGGGGAUGGGUUGAUACAGGCAGCAAAGCACCAUAGCACACGUUUACCUAUGUAAUAAACCUGCACAGUCCUGCACAUGCAUCCUGGAACUUAAACUUCAAAGGAAAACAAAAUGAGAAAAGAAUUAUUUCUUUCCUUCUGUUAAUUGUGAUAAUCUGAGAAGGCACAUUAUGUACGACACGUCCAAUUCUCUUUGUGGGGGUGGAAUUCAGUGGGAGUGUCUUCCCAUCGGAUACGUGAUAUAUUAGAAUGUUUUUAAAUGACAGCAUCCAUUCAACUGUAAUGCAGAGGAAUUUUCCUCAACACCAGCUUUCCUCUUUGGUUUAGGCAUUGUGUAUUUGCCAAUGUAAAUCAACUUCAUAGAUAAAUUCUGUGGGAAAAGGUCUUGUCUUUUCCACAGGUGUCCUCUAUACUAGCAUGUUUGAUUCUUGGCCUUUGACUCAACCAUUGUCUUACAACUAGUUUUCUGAGGUCAUCAAGAGACUAACAGAUCUGUGGGGUGGGGCGGGGGUGCAGAAGAAUUAAUCUGAUCCUCAUAGUGUCUUCUUUUGUCUAAUUGCAGAGUUCAUCACUCCCUGGUUAUGGUAUGUACCCUGAAGUAGCUCACUUGCUGAGGAACAAACUUGCUGGUUUUAAUAUAUAGAAACCUGAUUCUGGGUUCCGGUUAAAGAAUAUUGGGGGUCUAGUGAGAGCAAAUAAUUUUGCAAGUGUAUAACUCUGAUCAGAGGGGCUGUAUGAAUGCAUGUGAACCCAGAGGACCAGCCAGGGGAUGUUGUGUGAGCCGACGUGGCUUCAGCUGGAGUAGAAGUGAGUGCACCUCUCUCUGACUUACUCUGAUGUUGGUGGUUCUAAAGAGUGGAUUCUGGAAAAUCUCAACAGUGAAGAAGAUGCCUUUCCAGGUAGGCAACAAGAUUACAGGUGGAAUCUAAUAAAGCAGGUUCCCAGGAGCCUUCAGCUUCUGCCUGCUGCUUGGGAGGCUGAGCGAGCAUGUAGAAAGAGAAGAAAAAGAAAACAUGGACAAAGUUUGUUCUUGUCAGAGUUUAAUGUCAUAGUGGUGAGAAGUGUGAGUACCCUGUCUGUGAUCACCUCUUCUUGCUUUAUUAUUUAAAGAUGGUCUUUCUGAGGAUACCUCUUUUCUGCCUCUGCCACUGCAAAAUGUUAAAGCCUUUGGUUUGGGACACAGUUCUGUCAUGGCAGUUACUUAAUCCUCGAGACAACAAUUCUUCCACAGUGUGCGCAGUGGAAGGGGCACACCUUCUGAACUGUUAGGUUUCAUGGCGGCACGUUCAUUUGUCUGUCCUUGCUGUUUACUCCUGAUAUCAAGGGCUCUCUCUGGGCAUGGGGGACAGGAUGAAGAUUCGCUCUGGGCUCAUUGCAAAGCUCCAGUGUCUUGUAAAUGGAGGAAGAAGCACAACCUUGAGCACACUGCUCAAUUUCUUUAUUUAAAUGAGAAUAUGCAGUUUUACCAUCAUUUGUUAAAGAGGCCUUCCUUUUCCCAUUGUGUAUUCUCAGCACCUUUGUUGAAGAUCAGUUGACUGUGUAUGCAUGCAUUGAAUUUUGGGCUCUCUAUUCCAUAUCUCCGAUACUUACGGGUGCCCCCAUGCUAGGACCCUGCUGUCUGAAUUUCUGUAUCUUUUCCUCUCGUAGAUUUCAAUCUCAUGAAUGUGUAUCUUCCAACGCUAUUCUUUUUCAACAUUAUUAUGAUUAUUUGAGACAUAUAAGAAUUCAUAAAAAAUUUUGGGUUAUCUUUUCCAUUUCUGCACAGAUGGCUGUUACCAGUUUGAUAGUAUUUGUUGUGCGUCUUUGGAUCAUUUUGUAGUAUUGUGUAUUAGUCAGGUUUUGUCUUCCUGUCUGUGAAUACGGGAUGCCUUUUCAUUUAUUUGUACCUUCUCUACUUCCUUUCAGUCACAUUCUGUUCUUACCAGGUUACGAGUAUUUCAUCUCAUUGGUUAGAUUUAUUUCUAAGUAUCUAAUGAUUUCAGAGGUUAUUAUCCAUGGAAUUACAUUUGUAAUCUUACUAUUGGAUUGUUUCUAUUGAGUGCAUAUUAACACAAAUGCCAUUUGAGUGUUAACCUUUUUCCAUAGAGUAAAAUGCAGUAUUUCGGAUUAGAUUCUGCAUACCUAACUUCCCUUUUCGUGUUAACUGGAAAAAUAUAGGAACGUCUAUUUUGCUUCUGUUUUUCCACCAUCAGUUAUCUUUUAAACUCUAGACUUUAGAAUCUGAAGUGAAUCUGGAAUGUGGAAAUGUGAAGGAAAAUGCACAAGAAAGAAACCUAUUGGCCGGCUACUGCAGCGUAUGGCCACCAGCCCAAGUGAAACAAAACGUUGCUUUAAAAUGAGUUAUGUAUUCAUAAUGUCCACUCAUUGUUUUGUAAUCUCUGCUCUCUCUGUGGUUAUGUCUUCCUAUUAAUUUCUGAUAUUAAUUUUGUGAUUUCCCUUUUCUCUUGAUAAAUCUCACUAAUGACUUCUGUAUUAGACUUUUCUUGAAAACAACUGUUGGCUUUCAUCUGUGGCUGGGGCUUCAUCCACAGCUAGGUCAUGAUCCAUGGCUGGGGCGUCAUCCACAGCUAGGUCAUCAUCCAUGGCUGGGGCGUCAUCCACGGCUGGGGCGUCAUCCAUGGCUGGGGCAUCAUCAACAGUUGGGGCGUCAUCCAAGGCUUAGUCGUCAUCCACGGCUGCAGCAUCAGGGGCAUCAUGCACGGCUGGGGCGUCAUCUAUGACUGUUUUUCUCAGUGGAUCCAGACCAUUAAAUAAUAGUUUGAAUUCCACUUUUACAGUUUUUAUUUGUUUCAAAAGUUAUUUGUUAAUAAUUGAAUGAAAUAACUAAACCAGAAUUUUCCCCUUUUAAUUAUUUCUAUUUCUAUAUAGAAAGAGUUGUUUUAAGAAAACAGAUGCCUCUCUCUGUGUUUGUGAACAGGAGUCUUGGGUCUAAAGCCUUUCUCUGGUAGCUCUGCAGGAAGAUUGCCCCACCUCACCCUUGCUUUUUGUUCCAGAGGCUUCCAUUUAAAGGAGCAUCUUUCCCCACUCUGCCUCACCCCACGCCAGCUCUCCUGUACCCCCUGGCUUUCUAAACGCCUUCUUCCACCUUCACCUCAUUGAAUUCAAGACUCUGGAAAAUAGUCCAAAAUCAUAAAAAGGUGGGAGUGGGGGUGAUCUGGAAAUCCCUGCUAUAAUAUUUUUAAAGGAAUCUACUGGAAACUAUUUAUGUUUUAAAUAAAGCCAUCCCUUACUUAGCACUAGAAUAUGAAGCUAUUCAUUUUUUUAACAGAACUUUGAGAUAUAAUUCAAAUGUUUUUUAUGUGAACAUAUAUGUGUGUAUGUGUAUAUACACAACUAUAUACACGUGUGUAUGUGUAUACAUAGUUGUGUACAAAUGCACAUACACAUAUGUAUACAGUUAUAUAUAUAUGGUUGCGCAUAUAUAUACACAUACACACACAUAUAUAUAUAGUUGUUUUAGGACACAAAAAUACUGAUCUUGAGAAAAAAGCAUUGGUCUACAUAAAUAUUGAAACUAUCUGGCAAAGCAAAAGUCCCCUUUAAGAAAAUGACUUACAGGCUAAAGCCUGUAAUCCCAGCACCUUGGGAGGCUGAUACGUGAGGAUCAUGAGGUCAAGAGAUUGAGACCAUCCUGGGUGACAUGGUGAAACCCCGUCUCUACUAAAAAUACAAACAUAUUAGCCAGGUGUGGUGGCACUCGCCUAUGGUCCCAGAUACUCUGGAGGCUGAGGAGGAAGAAUCGCUUGAACCCAGGAGGCGGAGGUUGCAGUAAGCCAAGAUUGGGCCAGUGCACUCCAGCCUGGUGACAGAGCAAGACUCCCUCUAAAAUAAAUAAACAAAUAAAUAAAUAAGUAAAUAAAUGCGAGACUGCCUCUAAAUCAUUAUACAGAUAGUUAAGAAAAUGAAAAAAUGCAAGCCUGCACACAAAUACAUAAGUAUAAAAAAAAUGUUGUGAGUCUGGGUCUCAAUAAAAUAAAUGAGUAAAUGUGAGCCUGCCUCUAAAUAAUUAGAUAGCUAGACUCCAUCUCAAAAAAAACAGAGAAAGUAAACAACCACUAGAUUUCUUUGUGGCCUCAUUUCUCAUCCCUAUCUAUAUGUAGUAGCGAUUCAUAGUUUCUACCGUUUUGUAUCUAGCUUUUUCUUGUAUUCUUUUUUCUUUUAUUUUUUAGAGAACUGGGUCUUGCUAUGUGGCCUAGGUUGGCCUGAAACUCCUGGGGUGAAGCGAUCCUUCUGCCUCAGCCUCCCAAGUAGCUGGGAUUUCAGGUUGCAUGUCACCAUGCCUAACUGUAUCUGGCUUUUUUUUUUUUUUUCUGAGAUGGAGUCUUGCUCUGUCUCCAGACUGGAGUGCAGUGGCAUGAUUUCAGCUCACUGCAGCCUCCACCUCCCGGGUUCAAGCAAUUCCCCUGCCUAAGCCUCGCCAGUACCUGGCACUACAGGUGUGUGCCACCAUCCCCGGCUAAUUAUUAUUAUUAUUUUUAAAAAAAACGAAGAAAGAAAGAGAGAAAGAAAAAAAAAAGAAUGAAGAAGAGGAAGAAAAAGCAAGAGAAAGAGGGAGAGAGAAUGGAAGUAUUGCUUUAUUGCCCAGGCUAGAAUGCAGUCUAAAAAUGGGAAUUGAAAACUCUUUUAUGCCAAUAA
ensembl:lincRNA